rnacentral:lncRNA from 1 species
CGCCGACGCGCGACGGCGGCGACGGAGACGGAGGCGAUGGACGCGGCGACGGCGGCGAAGGGACCGCGAGCAAGCGCCCGCGGCGGUCGCGAAGGUGAGCCGCGCCCGCGCGCUUCGAGACGAGAUCGAUCGACUGGUCGAGAUCGAAGACGGAGGACGAGAUUUGAUUUGACGCGGUCGUUCAGCUCGCAACUCAAGUACUUCCGACGAAACGCAACGUCUUCGCUCGUCGACGAACCCGCAGAAAGCCACACCGCUCGCGCGGAUCGGAAAUGAUCGUUUCGAGGGUGCCGAGCGUUGCGCGACCGUCGCACCGCGCGUUCGCUCGCGCGGUUCGACACGACGCGUCUGGCUCACCCGCUGGCUUUUUUCUGUUGAAACUGAAUCGCGAACACGGGUAUGUACCCGCCGACGAGGACCAUCCCGGCGGCGACCGCGCCGAAGAUGAGGUGCUUGCCUUUCGUCUGCGCGCGAAGAGGGGGGGGAGGGGGGGGGGACGCGGGGGAGGACGAGUCAGCCGCGUCCGUCGCGGCUGCGCGCGAGGAGGGGUCCGAAAAACGGCGACGACGACGACGACGACGACGCGUCCGAUCCGAGCGACGCGUCGCGGGGGAUGGACGCACCGCGUGGACGUCGUACAUCUUCUCCGCGUGAAUGUACGCCUGCGGAGCGCGCGAGGGAGGUCGGGAGCGGGAGCGGCGGGGGAGGGGGGGAAGGGAUCGUCAGAGGUGCGUCGCGAGGCGCGCGCGCGGGGGACGAGGCCGCCCCGGGGCCAACCCUAAAAACGACGACGACGACGACAACGACGACGCGCGCGCGCGGACGCGACGGGACGAGACGCACGGGUUCGUCCGCGCCGCCGCGCUUGGGCGCGGAGGUUUGAAAGGCGCGAGCGGGCGCGGCGCCUGCGCGCUGCGUCAGCGCGCGACGCGCGACCUGGGCGAGAGCGCUGGACGACAUCUCGCGCGCGGAAAUUGCGCCCCUUCGCGCGCGAUUUCCUGGCAUGAACGCCACGAGCCCUACGUGUACACGUACUGUACGUGUAAAGUCUGUACAACGUACGAGUACGUGUACAAAUAGUAAUAGAAUACUUUCGUAUGAGCCAGCCGAAUGAUUUACGUGUACACGAG